rnacentral:sRNA from 1 species
UGAAGUCCGAUAUUGGUCCACAGACCAGGACAUGGGAAGCAGCAGGGCAAGAUUUAACCACAUGACCCACCAGAAUGCCUCAGAGCUGUACUGGAUGGACCAUCUUCAGCAGUGACAGGGUAGUGUUCA